rnacentral:rRNA from 1 species
GAAUUUUAUAUAAUUUUAUUGGAUUGAGUUUAUAUGAAGAUAAUAUUAAUAGUAAUAAAAUUAUAUUUAGUUGGGAGGAUUGUUAAAUUUAAUAAACUUUAAUUAAAAAAUAUAAUAUAAAUUAAUAAAUUUUAGAGUGAUUAAUAAAUUAAGUAAGAAUUAAUUACCUUAGGGAUAACAGCGUAAUAUUUUUGGAGAGUUCAUAUUGAUAAGAAUGUUUGC